rnacentral:tRNA from 1 species
GGCGUUGUGGUUCAGUGGUAGAAUGCUCACCUAACACACGUGAGUCACUGGGUUUGAUCCUCAGCACCA